rnacentral:rRNA from 1 species
UACGGAGGAUCCAAGCGUUAUCCGGAUUUAUUGGGUUUAAAGGGUGCGUAGGCGGCCUGUUAAGUCAGGGGUGAAAGACGGUAGCUCAACUAUCGCAGUGCCCUUGAUACUGAUGGGCUUGAAUGUACUAGAGGUAGGCGGAAAUGUGACAAGUAGCGGUGAAAAUGCAUAGAUAUGUCACAGAACACCAAUUGCGAAGGCAGCUUA